rnacentral:rRNA from 1 species
AUUGAACGCUGGCGGCAUGUCUUACACAUGCAAGUCGAGCGCGAAAGGGGGCAACCCCGAGUAGAGCGGCGGACGGGUGAGUAAUACAUCGGAACGUACCCAGUAGUGGGGGACAACCUCGAGAAAUCGAGGCUAAUACCGCAUACGACCCACGGGUGAAAGCGGGGGACCGCAAGGCCUCGCGCUAUUGGAGCGGCCGAUGUCCGAUUAGCUAGUUGGCGGGGUAAGAGCCCACCAAGGCGACGAUCGGUAGCUGGUCUGAGAGGACGACCAGCCACACUGGGACUGAGACACGGCCCUGACUCCUACGGGAGGCAGCAGUGGGGAAUUUUGGACAAUGGGGGCAACCCUGAUCCAGCCAUGCCGCGUGCGGGAAGAAGGCCUUCGGGUUGUAAACCGCUUUCGGCCGGAACGAAAUCGCCCGGGUGAACAUCCCGGGUGGACGACGGUACCGGAAGAAGAAGCACCGGCUAACUACGUGCCAGCCGCCGCCGUAAUAC